ACUAUUUUGGCAGAAUUUAGUGCGAUAAACUUAGGAUUUAUAAAUGUAAUUUUUAUUACAAAUAGUA
rnacentral:tRNA from 1 species